UACAGAGACCCCGAGCAUUAUCCGGAAUUACUGGGCGUAAAGCGCGAGCAGCCGGUUGCGUUAGUCUGGUGUUAAACCCUCGGGCCCAACCCGAGGACUGCAUUGGAAACGGCGCACCUCGAGUAGAUGAGAGGAAGGCAGAACGUAUAGUGUAGGGGUGAAAUCCGUAGAUAUUCGCAAGAACACCAGUGGCGAAGGCGGCUCACUGGCCCGGUACUGACGCUGAGGCACGAAAGCGUGGGGAGCAAACAGG
rnacentral:rRNA from 1 species